CCUUCUGGUGCAAGCGUUAUCCGGAUUCACUGGGUUUAAAGGGUGUGUAGGCGGGCAGUUAAGUCAGUGGUGAAAUCUCCGGGCUCAACCCGGAAACUGCCAUUGAUACUAUCUGUCUUGAAUUUUGUUGAGGUAGGCGGAAUAUGUCAUGUAGCGGUGAAAUGUAUAGAUAUGACAUAGAACACCAAUUGCGAAGGCAGCUUACUAAGCAAACAUUGACGCUGAGGCACGAAAGCGUGGGGAUCAAACAGGA
rnacentral:rRNA from 1 species